rnacentral:tRNA from 1 species
GCCGAAGUGGCGGAACAGGCAGACGCGCUACGUUCAGGGCGUAGUAUCCUUAAGGAUGUGUGGGUUCGACUCCCACUUUCGGCA